rnacentral:rRNA from 1 species
UUAAACUGAAGAGUUUGAUCAUGGCUCAGAUUGAACGCUGGCGGCAGGCCUAACACAUGCAAGUCGAGCGGUAACAGAGAGAAGCUUGCUUCUUUGCUGACGAGCGGCGGACGG